rnacentral:rRNA from 1 species
AUUGAACGCUGGCGGCAGGCCUAACACAUGCAAGUCGAACGGUAACAGGAAGCAGCUUGCUGCUUCGCUGACGAGUGGCGGACGGGUGAGUAAUGUCUGGGAAGCUGCCUGAUGGAGGGGGAUAACUACUGGAAACGGUAGCUAAUACCGCAUAAUGUCGCAAGACCAAAGAGGGGGACCUUCGGGCCUCUUGCCAUCGGAUGUGCCCAGAUGGGAUUAGCUUGUUGGUGGGGUAACGGCUCACCAAGGCGACGAUCCCUAGCUGGUCUGAGAGGAUGACCAGCCACACUGGAACUGAGACACGGUCCAGACUCCUACGGGAGGCAGCAGUGGGGAAUAUUGCACAAUGGGCGCAAGCCUGAUGCAGCCAUGCCGCGUGUAUGAAGAAGGCCUUCGGGUUGUAAAGUACUUUCAGCGGGGAGGAAGGGAGUAAAGUUAAUACCUUUGCUCAUUGACAUUACCCGCAGAAGAAGCACCGGCUAACUCCGCG